GAUGAACGCUGGCGGCGUGCUUAACACAUGCAAGUCGAACGAACCUUCGGGUUAGUGGCGGACGGGUGAGUAACGCGUGGGAAUCUGCCCUCAGGAGGGGGAUAACGGCCGGAAACGGCCGCUAAUACCCCAUAUGCCGAGAGGUGAAAUGAAUUUCGCCUGAGGAUGAGCCCGCGUCUGAUUAGCUAGUUGGUGGGGUAAUGGCCCACCAAGGCGACGAUCAGUAGCUGGUCUGAGAGGAUGAUCAGCCACACUGGGACUGAGACACGGCCCAGACUCCUACGGGAGGCAGCAGUGGGGAAUUUUCCGCAAUGGGCGAAAGCCUGACGGAGCAACGCCGCGUGAGGGAUGAAGGCCUCUGGGCUGUAAACCUCUUUUCUCAAGGAAGAAGACAUGACGGUACUUGAGGAAUAAGCCACGGCUAAUUCCGUGCCAGCAGCCGCGGUAAUACGGGAGUGGCAAGCGUUAUCCGGAAUUAUUGGGCGUAAAGCGUCCGCAGGCGGCCUUGUAAGUCUGUCGUUAAAGCGUGGAGCUUAACUCCAUUUAAGCGAUGGAAACUACAAGGCUUGAGUGUGGUAGGGGCAGAGGGAAUUCCCGGUGUAGCGGUGAAAUGCGUAGAUAUCGGGAAGAACACCAGUGGCGAAGGCGCUCUGCUGGGCCAUAACUGACGCUCAUGGACGAAAGCCAGGGGAGCGAAAGGGAUUAGAUACCCCUGUAGUCCUGGCCGUAAACGAUGAACACUAGGUGUCGGGGGAAUCGACCCCCUCGGUGUCGUAGCUAACGCGUUAAGUGUUCCGCCUGGGGAGUACGCACGCAAGUGUGAAACUCAAAGGAAUUGACGGGGGCCCGCACAAGCGGUGGAGUAUGUGGUUUAAUUCGAUGCAACGCGAAGAACCUUACCAGGGUUUGACAUCCUGCGAAUCCCUUGGAAACGAGGGAGUGCCUUCGGGAGCGCAGAGACAGGUGGUGCAUGGCUGUCGUCAGCUCGUGUCGUGAGAUGUUGGGUUAAGUCCCGCAACGAGCGCAACCCACGUCUUUAGUUGCCAGCAUUCAGUUGGGCACUCUAGAGAGACCGCCGGUGAUAAACCGGAGGAAGGUGUGGAUGACGUCAAGUCAUCAUGCCCCUUACAUCCUGGGCUACACACGUACUACAAUGCUACGGACAAAGGGUUGCAAGCUCGCGAGAGUUAGCUAAUCCCAUAAACCGUGGCUCAGUUCAGAUCGUAGGCUGCAACUCGCCUACGUGAAGGAGGAAUCGCUAGUAAUCGCAGGUCAGCAUACUGCGGUGAAUACGUUCCCGGGCCUUGUACACACCGCCCGUCACACCAUGGAAGUUGGCCAUGCCCGAAGUCGUUACUCCAACCCUUGUGGAGGAGGACGCCGAAGGUGGGGCUGAUGACUGGGGUGA
rnacentral:rRNA from 1 species